rnacentral:rRNA from 1 species
GAUGAACGCUGGCGGCGUGCCUAAUACAUGCAAGUCGAGCGGCAGCAUGUCUCUCACCACCUUUCGGUAGUUGUGACCAUUAAAGUUCACAAAUAACUCGGGGAAGUGGUGAGAGAUGAUGGCGAGCGGCGGACGGCAGAGUAACGCGUAGGAACAUACCCCAAACUGAGGGAUAACUGCUCGAAAGAGUAGCUAAUACCGCAUGUGAUCUUCGGAUUAAAGCUUCGGCGGUUUGGGAAUGGCCUGCGUCCGAUUAGCUUGUUGGUGAGGGUUAAAAAGCUCACCAAGGC